rnacentral:misc_RNA from 1 species
AGAGAGAGAGAGAGAGAGGGAGGAUUAGUGCUAUUUGGGCUCCAAGUUUAAUUUCCUCUCUUUUAACUUCCCAUUCCCUGCAACCACAUCAUUCUAGCAUGGAACAGAGCUGCAAAAAACUGGAGCCCAAAUAGCACUACUUGAGGUAACAGAGGGGAGAAUAUAGAGAGUCUACUAGUUCCAAUAGCAGCAGAAUCAGCAGAAGGAAGCCCUAAUACUUUUUUUUUUUUUUAACUGUUCUUUGUCUGUAGAGUGUUGUCAUGGAGGAAAUCAAGCAACACAGUACUCUUGCAUUUGGGGCAUUUAGGGUCAUCUUCCGAGAGCAUCACAUACAUGAGGCACCUUGGGCAUCCCACAAGCACCAUGGAAGUAGCUUCAGGGCUAUUAGAGUAUAGCAGAGUGUCUUCUUGGUUCAGCUCUGAUGACACACAUGAGCUUGGUGGUGAUGUUGGUGAAACUGUCGCUGACCGGCUUGGUGAUUCCACUCUAGGAUUAGCCCUUGGUGGUGAUAGGUUCAGCUUCAGGUCGAGCUUGGGCCCGUUGCCAUUUCUUCGACUCAUCUUUGAUGUGUUCUGUGUAGUAUAUUUCACCUGUCAAAAAACAUAACCAACAGAGUUCAAUUCAGGAACUAAACGGUUCAAACACAAGUGAUUAGAUAUAAACUAGUUUAAAACAUUGGCAUGAAUGAUACCUUAAGGUUAAGUAACUUCUGCUAACCUAAAAGCAGAGGAGAGGGCUCUUCUAAUUAAAUAUAGGAGGAAGAAGGAAAGUUGGUAUUAUGGAAGAAGAGAUCAAGAGUGAGUGGAAGAGUAGCUGCUAGGUUUGAACCAUGACCAACAACACUAGCACCUUCAAAAUGAUCUUGGUGUUGGUGGGUUUGAACCUGCAAGGCCACUAUAAAUAAGGGAAAUGAAGGGAGAGAGAUGGGGUUUUCUUUAAAGCUUAAUUUAAUUAUGGGGGAGAGGUGGA